UCUUGCAAAUUGGAUGGAUUACAUUUCAGUCUUUUUUUGAUACUCAACAUAUACUUUUAUCAGUUCCUGAGUUUUCUUUGUGGGUGUUACAGAGGAGAGAGCCUAUAAAUAUGUGAUUUACUGUGGAACCCAUGGCAGACAGAGGCUCACUGUAUUUUUUUACUUGGUUACUUUGGUCUCCUGAUGUUGAGGUUUGAUUUGGUUCAUAUUUUAAUGACCCCUGCGCCUACUAUGAAUUUUUUG
rnacentral:lncRNA from 1 species